UACGAAGGGGGCUAGCGUUGUUCGGAAUUACUGGGCGUAAAGCGUUUGUAGGCGGUUAUAUAAGCCAGUGGUGAAAGCCCAGGGCUCAACCCUGGAAUUGCCAUUGGAACUGUAUAGCUAGAGAAUGUUAGAGGAAAGUGGAAUUCCUAGUGUAGGAGUGAAAUCCGUAGAGAUUAGGAGGAAUAUCGAUGGCGAAGGCAGCUUUCUGGGACAUUUCUGACGCUGAGAAACGAAAGCGUGGGUAGCAAACAGG
rnacentral:rRNA from 1 species